AGGGUGUUCACCGUACUACAGUAUUUUGUGUUAUACUUUUGGAGAAUCCUAGAUUGUGUAUAUAUAUAUAUUGAGAAAUAGUAUGGUAAAUAUUUAUACUCAGGAUGCAUUAUAUUCAAAUAUUCAUAAAAAUAAUUUUGAAAUAUUAUCAUUUGAAAACUUUCGUCUUCAUUGGGCCCUUGAACCACUUACUAGAUACUAGAUGGAGCUCUGCAAUAUUAAUAUCAAUAAUCAAAUGACCAAUAUGAUAUUGACACGAUCGAAUGAACCAUCCUCUUGUGACCAUUAGAUGUACAUCCCCUAGAUGUUUCACAGGUGACGCCAAUAAUUAUAAUAUCACAAUGACAAAUCAAGUAGUCCGUCCUCUCGGAAUCACCAAAGAGUGGACCACUUGCAACUUUCUCUAAGACAACGGAGUUCGCUAGUAAUAUGAACUUUCCUACUUUAAUGAGCAUGUUCUCAAUUACUCCUAGAAGAUAUGUAAUUGAUCGGUUUGCCAAUUGAAGAGAGAUUUUUGUAUCAUUGAGCUCAUCCAGGCCUGGUUUUCUGUAAACAAAAUAUGCAUUACGUUUAUACUUGCUCUAUAAUCACAAAUCAUUAAAAUUAGAGCUAUUUCCAAUUGAGCUAACCUUGAGGGUGGAUCCACUUAUUUGAACUGAUCCAAGGUACGCUUAUGCUUAUCCAAAAUGCAUGUAAAUAAUAAUGUACAAACCAAUGCAAAGUUGAUCAAAUAAUUAAAUUGUACAUUUGACUAAACACAGAUGCAUGAAAUGUCCAAACUAAACUAUUUUAAUUCAAUUAAUGAAUAUACACGGGACAUCUUAUUGAUACAUGUGUAUAUUUCUAUAAUUGAGAAUAUCAGAGUGAUGAGCCACCAACAAUUAUAUGCAACUCUAGAAAGAAAGUGUCGCUAAAUAAUCUAAUAGGCAUCAGGAAUUGAAAUCUUAGAUCAAAACACUAUGUAUGGAUGGUAUGAACUGUCCAAAUAAGAAUUCUUGAACAGCGCAGCAUUACGAGCUAUUCGUAGAAGUGGUAUACUAUUACCUUUCGUACGGGAUAGCGUGAAAGUAGACCCUCAAAAAGUCUAAGUCGGUGAUAUUUAGCGAAAGUAUGCAUAUAAUGAUAGAAAUCUAGAUAUUGUGAUUGAACGUACCAUUAAUUCUAAAUGAUUGUGGUAUUUUAUAUGACAAUCUUUGUAUUCGUCCUUAUAUUAUGGUAGUGAUGAUCUAUCGAUAUCCACUGGUUGAUGAAGAACAAUGUCUAUUAAGUGAAAUUAUCCAUAUUCACCAUUUUUAUUUUUUGUGUUUUUUUUUUUUUUUUUUUUUUUUGUAGUUAACUACAUAUGGAGUUAAUCAUUGGAAAAUUCGUCGAAAAUUUUUUAUUCUGUUUUUGUUUAUUUUACCAAUGAAUUAAAUCCUUUCCUCAUUUAAAAUAAAAAAAAAGGAAAAAGAAAAGAUCAGCGUUAAUUGUCAUCGAUAAAAC
rnacentral:lncRNA from 1 species